GAGCGAACGGGAUUAGAUACCCCGGUAGUCCUGGCCGUAAACGAUGCGUGCUAGGUGUUGGUAGGGCUUUGAGCUCUAUCAGUGCCGUAGGGAAACUGUUAAGCGCGCCGCCUGGGAAGUACGCUCGCAAGAGUUAAACUUAAAGGAAUUGGCGGGGGAGCACCACAAGGGGUGAAGCCUGCGGUUCAAUUGGACUCAACGCCGGGAAACUUACCGGGGGCGACAGCAGGAUGAAGGUCAGAUUGACGAUCUUACCAGACAAGCUGAGCGGAGGUGCAUGGCCGUCGCCAGUUCGUGCCGUGAGGUAUCCUGUUAAGUCAGGCAACGAACGAGACCCACGCGCUUAAUUGCCAGCAAAGACCUACGGGUCUGUUGGGAACAUUAAGCGGACCGCCACCGUACAGGUGGAGGAAGGGGUGGGCUACGGCAGGUCAGUAUGCCCCUAAUCCCCCGGGCCACACGCGGGCUGCAAUGGUAUGGACAAUGGGUUGCGACUCCGAGAGGAGAAGCCAAUCCCGAAACCAUAUCUCAGUUGGGAUUGUCGGCUGUAACCCGCCGACAUGAACGUGGAAUCCCUAGUAAUCGUGUGUCAACAUCGCACGGUGAAUACGUCUCUGCUCCUUGCACACACCGCCCGUCGCUCCAUCCGAGUGUGGUACGAUUGAAAAGUAGUCCUUCGGAUUACUUUGAAAUUGUGCCACGCGA
rnacentral:rRNA from 1 species